rnacentral:rRNA from 1 species
UACAUGGGGUGCAAACGUUGCUCGGAAUCAUUGGGCGUAAAGCGCGCGUAGGCGGUUACUUAAGUCGGAUGUGAAAGCCCUCGGCUUAACCGAGGAAGUGCAUCCGAAACUGAGUAGCUAGAGUACUAAAGAGGGUCGCGGAAUUCCCGGUGUAGAGGUGAAAUUCGUAGAUAUCGAGAGGAACACCUGCGGCGAAGGCGGGUUGCUGGGCUGACACUGACGCUGAAGCGCGAAAGCUAGGGGAGCGAACGGG